AAUUAUGAUAAUAAUAAUAGUGAUUUAAUGACUGGAGAAAACCUGCACAUGAUAUUUGUCUUUUAUGCUGAAUACUUUAUUAGUCUUAUGAUCUAUAGUCGGUUGAAAAUGUGAAGUUUGAUUUAACAGAUUUGUCUUCCAGGAUAUAGGCUCCAGGUGGAGCUGAGAGUUAAACAAGCUAAACAUUUAAUUGCUGACUGAUGUUUUUACACAGGGUUACAGCUUGGAGUGAAGCUGCUCCAAGGGACAAACCCUGGAGAUUGUUUUAGGGAGACUGUGCAACAUUCUUGUACAUGUCUCAUUGGGGAGUUGACACAAGAGAGGAAGCCAUGUGGCGAGAGGAGUGUCAUUUUAAUUUGCAGAUGUCGUGAGAUGCCAUGACGAGAGAAGUGACUGAGAGGAUCGUCCACAAGAUGGAAGCUGAGGCCAGGAGAGAGUCUUCAGGAGGAUCAGAGAUCGCCUUCAGCACAGAGAGCUGUGCUACUGGGCUUCCAGGAGAUCGUCAUGAGGAAACUCUGCACAGCAAAAUCUUAAAUGAGAUGAAAUAGUUUCAACGUUGACGUUGAGGAAGACAACUAAGGUGUACGACGUGCUCUGCCUUUAAAAUCUUCAGCAGCGUUGAACCAUGAGAACUUGAGGGAGCGUGCCAAGCUCCAAAAAGUGACGGCGCAGAGGAGGUCCACCGAUGGACUUGUGGUUCUGUGAACAGCACAAAUGCCAGGAGCAGAGUCUGAAGUCUGGAGAUUGGAUGUUGACAAGCCCAUGGAGAGGAAGUGCUGGUCCAGUCCACGGUGGGAAGGUCCAUAUCGGAUGCUGCUGACGACGACCACAGCAGUGAAGAUUGCUGAAAGGAUUACUUGGAUACAUCAAGCGCACUGCAAGAAGGUGACACACAUCCAGGCCAGCUCGGGGUAAGUGGCAGGAAGACCGGGUACAAAGCGGGGGGAAAGCAUCCAGGGCCCCUCGUCUCAAUCCGGUGAAGAAACCAACUGAGCCACAGGUACUCAUCAGAUGGCUGGGAAUGUGCUGUGUGCCUUCUUGUGCCUGUGGACCCAGAGUGGGAUGACAGGAGCGCACUGGGACAGAGCAAAUCACACCCAGUACUCGCAUGGGGUUUUCAACAACUACUGGUGGCAGUUUGUGAACGCAACUGCUCACAUAAAGAACGAGACCAAUGGUUAUGCUUGUGAUGCCACUGGUUACACAUUCUUCUGGACUGUGGCCAUAUAGCAUCACUGAGAGCGAGACAGUUUGUUUGGUUGCCGUAGCAACACAUCCAGGAGUAAACGUACUUGGAACACUGCCAACUUUUCAACUCCUGAACCUGAAUGGACGGUUGAUUCACCAGUAGCUGGGAAGGUGAACUGCUCUGGUACGACAGACCUGCUAGUCCGACUCCAAGUGUCUGACUCGCUGCAGGACAUUGAACAGCUAAAUGAACUGGAAACAGGCCAGUUGCCUAUGUGUAUGAAGGGCAAUGGUUUAGUCCAAGUUGGAGAUUUAUCAUGGAAUUUGUGCAACGUCACCUAUUCUUUGUGUCCUCUGCAAGAAGGAUGCAAACAGAGAAGCCUUUUGUCUACAUUUGCAUCAUGAACACUUCUAAGCUGGUUGAGGUUGUGAGCCAAGAAGAUCAAAACACCUUGAUCCAAUUUCCUUUACAAAGCUUUUCCUGUGGUGACAACAGGACAGGAGAAGAGUUGUAAACGCGGGAAAUUCACCAGUUGACUCUAACCCCCACAGGAUGCCUACGGUGAGAAGAUUUGGGGGGUUGAUAGGAGUCAUAAAGAAGGGUGUUGACCAGGCUACAGCUUUGAAGUUAGCUGAGAGCCACAUGGACAAACAAUAAGUCAACUGAUGUGUUUGAAUGUCUAUGUCUGUAUACAGUUGUAUUGUAGUGACAUGAUUUUUGAGUAUGUUGAUUAUUCUUGUUUGACUGUGACAUUCAGUUGUUUAUUUGCAGGAAUACAUAAUGAAUCGCACGACAGGAGUAGAUGCACCACGGGGCUGGAUAGCUUGGUGAAUGUCUGGUCCUUGGUGGCAUCUUCUUUUGAAAAUAUUAACUCCUGUUUUUGGACUGUUGACACUGAUUUGCUUAUGUAUAGGAUGCAUUUUACCGUGUAUAAGAUCAAUGCGAACUAAGAUGAUUUCUAAUACAUUUGUUAAUUAUGUACUUUUACAACAAUAUGAAAUGACUGAAAUGAAUGACAUGACAGAAGCCUGUGUAUGAAUGACGCCUGCACUGAAAAUGUUAAGCAAGAGGUGCAUGGCUGAGAAUAUACUACAUAGGAAUAAUUUGGAACAUAAAAAUAACAAAACAGGAGGGAAAAUGUUAGAGUGAAUAGUUAAACAUUUGUCAUUUUUAUGUUUACCAUUUGUCCAUUGUUUUAACUCUGUGAAAGGAAUUCUUUCUUUCCUCCCAUCCCCAGAUUCUCGAGGUUCUGGGUGAGGGGCUGUAAUGUUUUAUUACAGACAACAUCUUAGUGAAGGUCUUUUUUGAUGUAAGCUUCCUGCCCAGCAGGAGGUCACACGCACGCACGCACGCACGCACGCACACACACACACGCACGCGCGCACACACGCACACACACAUUCUCGCAUAACACACACACACACACACAUAUACAUACAGUGCCUCGUCUUUGUAACCAAGGAGGGUUAAGAGGGGAGGUACGUGUUGUAAACUAUUGUGUGAACUGUAACAGUUUGUCAAUAAAUAGCUGCGAGGGAAGCUGCUCUUUGAAGGACUUUGGGCUGGAGACAGGUUAGGAGCGUGAGCUCCAAGAGCUGGUUCUUGACCAAAGGCCUCCCUUGCGCAAGUAAUCGAUCGAA